rnacentral:rRNA from 1 species
GAUGAACGCUGGCGGCAUGCCUAACACAUGCAAGUCGAACGGGAAGUGAUUAUUCCAGUGGCCGACGGGGUAGUAAGUCGUAAGCACCUGCGCUUGGGAGGGGAACAUAAGCUGGCAAGGGGUGCUAAUAACCCGUAGGCAGCGGAACAAAAGAAGGCAUCAUCCUGAGGAGGGGCUGGAGCUUGAUUAGCUAGUUGGUGAGGCAAUAGCUUACCAAGGCGAUGAUCAGUAGCGGGUCCGAGAGGAACAUCAGCCACACUGGGACUGGGGCACGGAGCAGGCUCCUACGGGAAGCAGCAGUAGGGAAUUUCCCGCAAUGGGCGAAAGGCUGACGGGGCAAUGGCGCGUGGAGGUAGAUGGGCUACGGGUCGAGAGCUUCUGUUCCCGAAGAAGAAGCAAUGACGGUAUCUGAGGAAUAAGCAUCGGCUAACUCCGUG